GGGGGCCCGCAAGCGGUGGAGCAUGUGGUUUAAUUCGAUGCAACGCGAAGAACCUUACCUGGUCUUGACAUCCACAGAAUCUUGCAGAGAUGCGAGAGUGCCUUCGGGAACUGUGAGACAGGUGCUGCAUGGCUGUCGUCAGCUCGUGUUGUGAAAUGUUGGGUUAAGUCCCGCAACGAGCGCAACCCUUAUCCUUUGUUGCCAUCGGUUAGGCCGGGAACUCAAAGGAGACUGCCGUUGAUAAAGCGGAGGAAGGUGGGGACGACGUCAAGUCAUCAUGGCCCUUACGACCAGGGCUACACACGUGCUACAAUGGCGUAUACAAAGGGAGGCGACCUCGCGAGAGCAAGCGGACCUCAUAAAGUACGUCUAAGUCCGGAUUGGAGUCUGCAACUCGACUCCAUGAAGUCGGAAUCGCUAGUAAUCGUGAAUCAGAAUGUCACGGUGAAUACGUUCCCGGGCCUUGUACACACC
rnacentral:rRNA from 1 species